AACCAUUUUUCCCAGUUUGCCUGAGAAAAUUCUAGGGAUAGGCAGCUUGAAACAAAAACAAAAUAAAUCAAAACAAGAACACAUUGUUUUUUGAAAUGGUCACCCAUUUUGUCGCCUUCCCUCAGGGGCGAGCAAUUUUACUCACCUCCAAGCUUCAGGCGUUCCCCAUACCGGCCACCAAAUGCCGCAGUCUGGCUAGGCACAAAAUCACGAGCCACUCAAGCAGGAACAAACUUUAUUUUUUGAAACUGCCGCCAAUGUUCUAUACGCCCCCGGGAAGAUCGCCGAUCCACCCACGUGGCGUUCUCCCGGAACCCCCAGAGGAAGUUCCUCCCCCGGAACUCCCUCCUACUGUACUUCCCCAACCAAUGGGAACUCUCCAGGAGUCCCGUAGCAGGCCAAGGUGAACAGCAGGAGUCCAAUAUCCAUAUGAAUGCAAAUCUUAACAUAAUCAUAUCAUCUCAAUGGCUAGCUGGCAUCACCUUUCAACCAAAAAUGCCAUGCAUCAUAUACUUGGCUGACUCUUAGCAA
rnacentral:lncRNA from 1 species